CAGCAUCGCGAUAGCUUGCUAUUGCGGAUGGCGACCGGCGCACGGGUGAGUAACGCGUAUCCAACCUUCCCGCAACUGGGGAAUAACCUUGCGAAAGUAAGACUAAUACCCAAUGAUAUCCCACGAAGGCAUCCGAAUGGGAUUAAAGAUUUAUCGGUGAUGGAUGGGGAUGCGUCUGAUUAGCUUGUUGGCGGGGUAACGGCCCACCGUGGCAUCGAUCGGUAGGGGUUCUGAGAGGAAGGUCCCCACAUUGGAACUGAGACACGGUCCAAACUCC
rnacentral:rRNA from 1 species